GGCUCACCAAGGCGACGAUGCGUAGCCGACCUGAGAGGGUGAUCGGCCACACUGGGACUGAGACACGGCCCAGACUCCUACGGGAGGCAGCAGUAGGGAAUCUUCCGCAAUGGACGAAAGUCUGACGGAGCAACGCCGCGUGAGUGAUGAAGGUUUUCGGAUCGUAAAACUCUGUUGUCAGGGAAGAACAAGUACGAUAGUAACUGAUCGUACCUUGACGGUACCUGACCAGAAAGCCACGGCUAACUACGUGCCAGCAGCCGCGGUAAUACGUAGGUGGCAAGCGUUGUCCGGAAUUAUUGGGCGUAAAGCGCUCGCAGGCGGUUCUUUAAGUCUGAUGUGAAAUCUUGCGGCUCAACCGCAAACGUGCAUUGGAAACUGGAGGACUUGAGUGCAGAAGAGGAGAGUGGAAUUCCACGUGUAGCGGUGAAAUGCGUAGAGAUGUGGAGGAACACCAGUGGCGAAGGCGACUCUCUGGUCUGUAACUGACGCUGAGGAGCGAAAGCGUGGGGAGCGAACAGGAUUAGAUACCCUGGUAGUCCACGCCGUAAACGAUGAGUGCUAGGUGUUAGGGGGUUUCCGCCCCUUAGUGCUGAAGUUAACGCAUUAAGCACUCCG
rnacentral:rRNA from 1 species